rnacentral:rRNA from 1 species
AUUUGAUAUGACGAACCGUACAAUAAUCCGCAACAGGUUCCCAAAAGCUAAUAACUUAUAGUUGUAUAGAGUAAUGCGAGUAAGGGAAGUCGGCAAAUUAGAUUUGUAUCCUUGGUAUAAAGGUUGGCUCUUAAAUUUGAAUAACUUAGGCUAUUUCCGAACUUAUUCACUUUUCUUAGAAAAGUUGAGGUAAAAAGGUUUUUUGAUCUGACAAGUAGUUUCCGAAUAAACGUUGGAGAGAAAAAUCAUAUUACCCGAAUUAGGAACGAAGUAGUGCAGAUUUAUUCACUGUGGUGUUUAAAUCGAAUAAGUUAUAAUAAACAUUUAUCUAAGAACCGAUAGAAUCUAGAGGAAUCCAACUGUUUAAUUAAAACAAAGCAAAAGAGAAAAGCUUUAUAUAGUAAUACCUCUUUGUGAUUUCUGCUCAGUGCUUGAAUGUCAAAGUGAUGAAAUUCUAAACAAGACACAAGUACAACAGCGGAGUAACUAUGACUCUCUUAAGUAG